rnacentral:tmRNA from 2 species
GGGGGCGACAUGGUAUCGACGCCGGUGACAACCCCUGCGGUGCAUGCCGAGAGCGUGAUGUAUCUCGUAAAUCCAACAUCACGAUAAAUAGUCGCAAACGACGAAAACUACGCUCAGGGCGCGCUGGCAGCUUAAUAGUUGUUAGCUUCUUGUCCGGCUCCAAAGCGAUGUGCCUGUUCAUGGCAGCGGAGAUACGAGCUAAAAAUGACAGGACCGCAGUCGGUGGCGCUUUCUCGCCGGCUGUUAAACUUACGAAGGCUCGCGUAGCUGGAUCCUGAUCGUCGGAGCCAGAGACGUUAAAGCAAAAGACGAAAUCUAAGCAUGUAGAGCCAAUGGGCGAGUGCUGGCGGACGCGGGUUCAAUUCCCGCCGCCUCCACCA